rnacentral:rRNA from 1 species
CGAGUUUGAUCCUGGCUCAGAACGAACGCUGGCGGCAGGCCUAAUACAUGCAAGUCGAACGCCCCUUCGGGGGAGUGGCGCACGGGUGAGUAACGCGUGGGAAUGUGCCCUUGGGUACGGAAUAACGUCGGGAAACUGACGCUAAUACCGUAUGAUGUCUUCGGACCAAAGAUUUAUCGCCCAGGGAUCAGCCCGCGUAAGAUUAGCUAGUUGGUGAGGUAAUGGCUCACCAAGGCUCCGAUCUUUAGCUGGUCUUAGAGGAUGAUCAGCCACACUGGAACUGAGACACGGUCCAGACUCCUACGGGAGGCAGCAGUAAGGAAUAUUGGACAAUGGGCGAAAGCCUGAUCCAGCCAUGCCGCGUGAAUGAAGAAGGCCUUAGGGUUGUAAAGUUCUUUUAGUAUGUGAAGAUAAUGACGGUAGCAUCAGAAAAAGACUCCGGCUAACUCCGUG